rnacentral:rRNA from 1 species
AUUGAACGCUGGCGGCAGGCCUAACACAUGCAAGUCGAGCGGAGCGGCGGACGGGUGGGUAAUGUCUUGAAACCUGCCUGGUAGAGGGGGAUAACGUCCGGAACAGUGAGCUAAUACCGCAUACUAUCAGAUGAGCCUAGGUUGGAUUAGCUAGCUGGUGGGGUAAAGGCCUACCAAGGCGACGAUCCGUAACUGGUCUGAGAGGAUGAUCAGUCACACUGGAACUGAGACACGGUCCAGACUCCUACGGGAGGCAGCAGUGGGGAAUAUUGGACAAUGGUCGAAAGCCUGAUCCAGCCAUGCCGCGUGUGUGAAGAAGGUCUUCGGAUUGUAAAGCACUUUAAGUUGGGAGGCGUUACCAACAGAAUAAGCACCGGCUAACUUCGUGCCAGCAGCCGCGGUAAUAC